rnacentral:lncRNA from 1 species
AUCGAUUCAAUAUUAACAUAUGCAAUCCAUAUUCAAAUUUCUCCAGUUGUCAGUAAAAAAAUCUGAUAAAGGUGGAGUUCCAGUCAUGGCUCAGUGGUUAACGAAUCUGACUAGGAAUCAUGAGGUUGAGGGUUCGAUCCCUAGCCUUGCUUGUCAGGUUCGUUUCCACCUCGCCGCCACAGGAACUCCCGUUUAGUCUGUUUUUGUAUGUGGCUAAUUCUGUUUUCUGGGAAAUACAAGUGGCGGUUGUUCUCAAACGUGAAGCCACCCAGUGAGAUUUUUAAAAUUCCAAGUGAUGGCUGUAUCCAAAAUCACUUAAAUCAGAAUUUCUGGGGAUGGCACCCAGGCACCAGUAUUUUUAGAAGUUCUCAGGGUACAAUGGGGAAAUUUGAGACCCAAACAUAAGGGGUUGGGUGAGUUCCUUAAUGAAAAUCAGCGUACAAUUAGAGAAACAGAAGAAAAAUGCCAUAGUCAAUAAUAUACAUUGUAGGGCUAUCAACUACUAAGUUAUACUUCAUAACAAACAUAAGAAAUCAAGUCUUGAAGAAUACUUUACGGAAACACAGAAGGAGAAAUAAAGCCUAGAAGAAUACUACUGUGUUUAUAGAGUAUGGACAAAGAAUGUCACCUGCCAUUUCAGUAAAUAAUAGAUGCUGUGGCCAAAAAGCGAUCAACCACUGCAGCCACCCCUACAGUGCACCCUGAGGGGAUUCAGGAUGGAGAAAAACAAGAUGAUGGCCCUGCAGAGUUAAGGUGCAUAUCAAAGGAAUGGUUUCAAUAAGCCCAGACUCUUGCAUCUUCCUAUACCUAAAAGCACUAAAAGCAUUAACUUGAGAUGUCUGUUUUCGUGAUUAGCAGUUGCAUUUUUUUAGAAAGAGAUGGGGAUCAUGUUAUUCAGAUUCGCAAUCCAAGGGUUCCCAAAGUACUAAAACUAAAAGUGUGAGGCCAAUCUCCUUUGCCCUCCCAGCCACUGGGGCUUUCUGCUGCUCUAACAGUUCAAACUUUUUCAUCCUUCGGAAAUUAUGCAUAUUUCGUUCCCAUUGUAUGGACAUAUCAUUUAAAUUGGGCAAGUUUUCUGAGUGAUAAUUCUCUAGGGAGGACACUAUCACCAAAUAUUAAGCAGGUCUUAUGUGAUCUGAUGAGAUGAAGUAAAGAGAAGGCACCAGCAUACCGGCUGAUUCCUGGGGAUCAAAAUCAAGCUUCUAUUUUCCUAAUUGGGGAAUCUACAUAUAAACAGGCUACACAGAUACUUGUAAGUGCAGUAUACACAAACUCAUGGAAUUUGUUAGUACCAAAGCUAAUAAUUAUCUUUUUUUGUACACAAUAGAGCACAUGGGUAAAAAAAUUCUGCCACCAGCAUUUUGUUCCUUAACACCAGACGGCUACACCUUUGAAAUUUUAUGCUGCAUGCAGAAGUUUAUAUACUACAAAAAAAGAAAAAAGAAAAAAAGGCAUUUUGCUUAACAACUUGGAUGUAGACACAUGCACUUGCG